rnacentral:rRNA from 1 species
UACGUAGGGUGCGAGCGUUGUCCGGAAUUAUUGGGCGUAAAGAGCUCGUAGGCGGUCUGUCGCGUCGGCUGUGAAAACCCGAGGCUCAACCUCGGGCCUGCAGUCGAUACGGGCAAACUAGAGUACUGCAGGGGAGACUGGAAUUCCUGGUGUAGCGGUGGAAUGCGCAGAUAUCAGGAGGAACACCGGUGGCGAAGGCGGCCCACUGGAUCGGUACUGACGCUGAGGUGCGAAAGCGUGGGGAGCAAACAGG